ACUUAACAUUGUUUGUGAGUUCCUUCUUUAAAACAUUUUCAAUAAAAUAAAACGAUUCUAUUCUGUGAAUUUGUUUUCGCUUGAAAUAUAGUUUCAAAUACACGCGGUAAUAAUCAAAAUGAGUCGUUAUAAUGUGAGUAAAAAACUAUUUUUGAUUAUUUUCGAACUGACUUUACUGAAAACAUUUUAUUGUGAUUUUAAAGACACUGUGAAUCAAGUUUGGAAGUCUUUUAGUGAUUGCACGGAUAACAAAACAAAGAUGUUUUGGCCAUGUUUAGAAAAUGAGUCAAUAUCGAUUCUCUAUAAAGUUGAGGAAAGUGCGAAGAAUAUUCCGAUCCUUGGUAACUCAGUGGAGCUGAUUAGAGAAAAUUCUAAUGAGCAAAAGGACUACAAUACGUUUGCAAUUACACCCAGAUUAUUCAAAAAUCGCGAAAGAAAACUUUCACUUCGAUACGGAGAUUUAUCAUUCACAAGGAUACUCUUGGAUUUUUUCAAGAAUCGAUCGUUGCAACUUAGAAUUCCUAUUUUGUGGUCUGAAACUCUCUGGAAUUCAGCAGUUGAAGGCAGAGGCAAGAAAGACAAGGGCCAUUCUAUGCUGGCGGGAUGUCUACUGGCUGGACUUAUGAUGACGAUCGCCUCGUUGGCUAUGCUUUCGGGGAAAGCUUUGAUGACGAGCUUGAUCGCCCUCACACUGGCCGCCCUUUCGAACAGAAAAGGGGGCUCGGCCGCCCUCCAUGGCGCCACCACCUACGAAGUCAUCAACGUCCCAGCACAUCAUCAUUGAGCACUUGCUUACACUUAGAGCCGAAUUCAUAAUCACUCAUUUAACAUCUCCUUUGCUUAGCAGGCUCCAUGCGGUUUACAUUGAGGUUACGGAGGAUUUUAGGAAAUCCUUAGUAUAGCACCAUCAAAAAGAUGAUUUUUACAAAUCUCAAGUACAAUUCAACGGAAUAACCUCGGAAAUAGAUCCUUACAAAGGAUGCAAGGAUUCGCCACUGCAAAAUAUUACAAACCUGGAAGAAAAUAUUCUUGGAUUUUGACAAGUUUUGAGGUAGGUGCGAACCUAUCGAGAUUGUCAAAACAUGGAGAAUCUUUUCGUUUGUAUAUCUAUUUUAUAGAGGAAAAUCAUUGAGUUCUCCUUAGAGUCUCUA
rnacentral:lncRNA from 1 species